UGAGUACGAGAUGCUACGGCAUCGAAGCAGUCUAUGUCAUACUUCCAAGAAAAGCUUGCAAUGUCAUAAACAAAUAAUGCCUGUACCAUAACCGACACAGGUGGGUAGGUAGAGUAUACUAAGGGGCGCGAGAUAACUCUCUCUAAGGAACUCGGCAAAAUGACUCCGUAACUUCGGGAGAAGGAGUGCCUUAUUUUUAUAAGGUUGCAAUAACAAGAUCCAAGCAACUGUUUACCAAAAACACAGGUCUCCGCUAAGUCGUAAGACGAUGUAUGGGGGCUGACGCUUGCCCAGUGCCAGAAGGUUAAAGAAGUUGGUUAGCAUUAGCGAAGCUGAUAACUGAAGCCCUGGUGAACGGCGGCCGUAACGAUAACGGUCCUAAGGUAGCGAAAUUCCUUGUCGGGUAAGUUCCGACCCGCACGAAAGGCGUAAUGAUUUGGAUACUGUCUCGGAGAGGGGCUCGGUGAAAUAGACUUGUCUGUGAAGAUGCGGACUACCUGCACCUGGACAGAAAGACCCUAUGAAGCUUUACUGUAACUUGAGAUUGAAAUUGGACUUUAUCUGCGCAGUAUAGGUGGGAGACGUUGAAAAUAUUCUUGCGGGAAUAUUGGAGUCAUCAGUGAGAUACCACUCUUAUAAUGUUAGAUUUCUAACUUUGUAUCAUUAUCUGGUCAAAGAACAGUUUCAGGCGGGCAGUUUGACUGGGGCGGUCGCCUCCCAAACGGUAACGGAGGCGCACAAAGGUUUCCUCUGAACGUGUAGAAAUCGUAUCUAGAGUGUAAAGGCAUAAGGAAGCUUGACUGUGAGACCUACAAGUCGAGCAGGGACGAAAGUCGGUCUUAGUGAUCUGACGGUGCUGAGUGGAAAGGCCGUCACUCAACGGAUAAAAGUUACUCUAGGAUAACAGGCUGAUCUCCCCCAAGAGUUCACAUCGACGGGGAGGUUUGGCACUUCGAUGUCGGCUCAUCGCAUCCUGGGGCGGUAGUACGUCCCAAGGGUUGGGCUGUUCGCCCAUGAAAGCGGUACGCGAGCUGGGUUCAGAACGUCGUGAGACAGUUCGGUCCAUAUCCGGUGUAGGCGUUAGAAUAUUGAGAGGAGCCUUCUUUAGUACGAGAGGACCGAGAAGGACAUACCUCUGGUGUACCAGUUAUCGUGCCAACGGUAAACGCUGGGUAGCCAUGUAUGGAGAGGAUAACCGCUGAAAGCAUCUAAGUGGGAAGCCCACCUCAAGAUAAG
rnacentral:rRNA from 1 species